GAACGAAUCCACAUCCCAAACCUAGUUCGUCAAUCCCCUUUUCCUCUGCCAUGUACCACUGCUGGAGGUCGCCGCCGCUAGGGUUAACUGAAAAAAUUGGGCGGAUCACUAUAUCCCUCUCCCUCUCCCUCUCCCUCUCCUGUAUAUCUUCCUCUUCGCUUUCGGCGUUGAAGACGAACGCCCAAAGAUCAAAUCAUGAUGUCCGGCGGCGGCUCGCUGCCAUUGUGUCUCUGUAGCAACGUGGGGUUAUAACUCUUUGGAUCGACGAUAAGGCUGCAUAGGAGAGAACCAUUGUCCUUUACAGCUCAAGGAUCCAAGGUCUAUUGGUAGCAGGAUGGCAGUCCUGCAGCAGUGAUGUAAACUUUGACAUGGCCCAUGCCUGAAGUUCGAGAAACCUCAAAUGGACAGUGCAAUAGACUGACGUUUGAAAUGUAUGAAUCUCUACUGCUUUUCAAGUAGCAGCGUUGCUCUGUUGAAGAUUGUAUAGGAUGGCUUGUGUCAUCUUCAUUACAUUUGUUUGGCCGAGCUUCUGUUCCAAACCAUGCAUAGCACCUGAGAAAUUGGCAAGUUGUGCUCUUGUAUCAGUUGUUGUAAUUGUUGUGUGAUUGCUCAUUACUGACUUUUGGGGAAAAUGCAAAAUUUUCAUGUAAUUUAUUCUCGAACAGUUGAAAAGCUCAACAGUUAUUACUAUGUAAUAUUAAGUAUAUGAGAGAAAUGUAUUUAUAAAUAA